UUAUUUGGGUUGGGUUUACUUUUCAAAAAUUGGUCCUUUUUAAAAGUUUUUUAAAAGUAAAUCUGCACCAAAUAAAGUUUAUCGAUUUUGAAAAACUUUAUUUCUCGCCCUAUUUAUAGGGAGGAGCAAGAUGAAACCUUAUUUAAAACCAUCACUCUUAAAAUGUAUUUUCUAUAUCUAUAUAAAAUAAAAGA
rnacentral:misc_RNA from 1 species